rnacentral:rRNA from 1 species
UACGAAGGGGGCUAGCGUUGCUCGGAAUCACUGGGCGUAAAGGGUGCGUAGGCGGGUCUUUAAGUCAGGGGUGAAAUCCUGGAGCUCAACUCCAGAACUGCCUUUGAUACUGAGGAUCUUGAGUUCGGGAGAGGUGAGUGGAACUGCGAGUGUAGAGGUGAAAUUCGUAGAUAUUCGCAAGAACACCAGUGGCGAAGGCGGCUCACUGGCCCGAUACUGACGCUGAGGCGCGAAGGCUAGGGGAGCGAACGGG